rnacentral:piRNA from 1 species
UGGGGACUAGGACAUGGGUUGUUGAC